UACGGGGGGGGCAAGCGUUGUUCGGAAUUACUGGGCGUAAAGGGCUCGUAGGUGGCCAACUAAGUCAGACGUGAAAUCCCCAGGCUCAACUUGGGAACUGCGUCUGAUACUGGAUGGCUUGAAUUCGGGAGAGGGAUGCAGAAUUCCAGGUGUAGCGGUGAAAUGCGUAGAUAUCUGGAGGAAUACCGGUGGCGAAGGCGGCAUGCUGGACCGACAUUGACGCUGAGGAGCGAAAGCCAGGGGAGCAAACGGG
rnacentral:rRNA from 1 species